GAUGCGUUGAGCUAACCGGUACUAAUGAACCGUGAGGCUUAACCUUACAACGCCGAAGAUGUUUUGGCGGAUGAGAAGACGAACAAUUUUCAGCACUGAUUCAGAGUUGAGUA
rnacentral:rRNA from 1 species